AAGUCUUCUUCAUUAUUGUUUUUCUUGUAGAACAAAUGUUGUGGUGUGCUUAAUGGACAGUCUGAUUGGGGAUCAAAUGUUGCUAUUUACAGUGGCUGUGAAUGUGAGAAGAAAGACAUAGGUACGAGUUACUGCAAUGGAAAUGUGUAUAAAAAGAGUUGUUCAGCUGUAAUUAUAGAAAUCUUCAAGAACAAUAUGGUCAUAGUUAUGGGGAUAGCAUUUGGACUGGCAUUUAUUGAGAUUGUUGGUCUGGUGUUUUCAAUGAGCCUUUACUGCCAGAUCCAGAACAAAUGAAACCAUGGAAGUGUCAGAAAUAUGUCAUCAACCAAGUGAGAAAGCUUUGUAAAUUGAGGAAUUGGUAUUUGGUUUGGCACCCACCAAUAAAUGACAGAAGUAGCUGCGAUGAUAACCACAGAAGCACUAAUGGAAAAAGAUACUUCAUGAGUUAUGAGUUCCAAAUCUGUUUAAAAUUAGAGAAAUUAAUGAUCUGUAGCUGGAUUUUUUUAAAAUUUUGGGGUGUUUGUGUUUUGGGAUGGUGGUAUUUUGUAACCUAUUUGAAGAUUACACCUCAAAAAAAAAAAGCACUUGCUCCAUAUUGUGCUGACCCAACAAAUUGUUUUCUACUUAUCUGGUAACUAUACCUGUUUUCUGAAUUAAAGUUGCUGUCUACUUCACCAUUUCAACUAACAAAGUUUAUAGUUGUAUAUAUGUGUGCACACACACACAAAUAUAUACAAGAAAAAUUCUUGCUUUCCAACUCUGCAUGCAGAGACACAUAUACAUGUUUCACCUUUUAACAUUGCUGAAAUGCUGUGAAACCUGCCUGCUCUUUGAACAAAUUGAUCAAUCAGUCUGUCCAAUCAAUCCAAUGGAGUCAGAUUAUCUGCAUCACUAGAGGUUGACUUGAGAGAUGCAAGCAAGCUUUCAACAGUAACUCUUGAAAAGUCAGAGCAGGCAGUCUCUAUGAAGUUGGCUGUUUUUCCUUACAGCAUAAUCCCUAUACAUAUUAAAGUUAAAUGGUACUUUCUCUUAAGAAAGGAGGUAUUGGAUUACAGCUUUAAUUUUCUCAGAAGAAACAAAGAUUUCUUUCCUGGCAUUAUUUCACAGCUUAUGGGUAAACUGGGAUAGCCAUUUAGCAAGCAAUAGCUUACUAAACAGUUUAAAUUAUGCCAAGCUGAGUCAGUUGUUAAUCUCUUGCUAAGAGACAACAAUGUUACCACUGGUCUGCAACUUAUUUGGAUAACCUGCCUUUUCAAUAAUAAACAUAUAGCAUGUA